GUUUGGUAUUAACCUGCCCGAACAAUAAUAAUAAUAAUAAUAAUAAUGUUUAUUUCAUGAUUAGUCUACAUUCAAAACAAAAUACAAUAAAAAUAAAAACCCAAAGCUCGCGUUUUUUACAUUACCGAAGGACAUGAAAAUUGCCAAAAGAUGGAUCGAAUUAUCUGGACGCAAAGAUCUUGACCUGGGUGCUUCGAAAGACUAUAGAAUGUGUAGUGAGCAUUUUACAGAAAACCAGUUCAAAUGUAUAAAUCCACGGACAUUGCUUUGGCGUGGAAGUAUUCCUCAUGUGAAUGGACCUAAAUCAGAUGUUCUUCCUGAAUCUGAGAUGAUCAUCCAUGAAGAAAGUGUUCAAACGGAUCAAAACGUACCUCUAUCGUUUUGCUAGGUCGAAAACGUCCAACGAAAAAGAUCGACAUCUGAUAGAUCAGAUAUCUUUGCCGAACACUCCAGAUGUGUAUUCCCUCCAAUAUGGAUGUAAUAAACGAACGGUUCAGACAAGUCCGAGCGGUCCGAGGUAAUAACCGAACGCGUUUAUUGUUCAGUUCCUCAGUGUUCUUCCUAGGAAAAAAAAAUGUUCAAAUAUCAAUUUCCAUGCUCUCCCUCAAACUGGUGAUAAAUAUCGUGUUUCGGUGGAAGGGAAAUUGGGGACUUGGGGAGUAAAGUGCUGAUGGAUCGACAAAAAGCUUAGCAACUGAAACUCAAAAUCGGUAAACCAGUGACAAGAAAUAUGAAAGUAUGUGCCCUGCAUUUUAUCGAGAUUUUCCUGAAAUACAGAAAAACAUGCAAAAAUGUUUUGAAUGUUUUCAGAAUAUUAGAAUUUUACUCUCAGAAUAAAUAACACAGUUAAAUUUAUGGAGGCUGUUUCCCCUGGAGGUUUAAUUACUUUCAUUAGUGAACCAUAUGGCGGAAGAAGAUCUGAUGAAAAUAUUUUUCAACAAAUGUGACCUGAUUUUGAAGUUAGAAAGCUCACAGGAUGCUAUUUUGGUGGACAAAGGCUUUUUAAUUGAAAUAAGGAACUGAAUAUUCCUUUCCUUACGUUAAAAAGAGGAUACAUGCAAAUACAAAGAGAUAUAUUGAAGUAGCAAUAAAUGAGAUGCAAAUCAGAGUUAAAGAAGUGGUGCUCACAGGGCCAACCGAUGCCAAAAACCUGCAGUUAUGUUUGCAGGGCAGUGUCUGUGUUCAAGUUAACGCUGGACUAUUGGCUUAUGCAUCAGUAUUUCUAAGUACAAAAGGUGGAAGAACUUAAGGAUGUCUAUCGAGAAUUCCUAAAAAUUUGCUACUCAGCACUGCAGAUCAACAGCAAACUCAUAACAGCAGAGUAGCAUACCUACCAAGAACUCUUACAAGAUAAUUACAAACAAUUAUGUUCCUCACUUUCGGAGCUUUCUAAAGAACCCUUAUGGCCUCACGAUGACACAGGAAGUUUUGAGAGGAACAGUAUGUCUCAUUUUAGUGCUAUAAGUGGCAUAAAUAAGGAAGGUUAUUCUGUUUGCAACAUAUUGAUUCUCAUUUGAUCGACUUGAGAUUUUUAAAUUAUUUCAUUGAAAUAAAAAAUUGUCCUCUAACUUUUAAAUCUGAUUAAAAUCCAUCCAAAGAAUGUCUGCAUAUUAAAGUUAGAGUACAAUAUUAUAUACUUGUACUGCAUACUGCAAAAAGAAAUUAAUCUUCAAAAUUGUCCAUUUAUGUAAUCCCAUUAUUGAAAGAAAUUAUUUUGAAACAUAACCUCUGGUAUCCAACUCUUCACAAUGAUGUUCGUGUGAAGCAUUCAUGAUAUAAUUUUAAUAAGGAUUAGGUAGGUUUAAAAACUCCACUAUUUUGUGAAAAUAAUGUAUCUUUUAUGUAUGAAUGUAAUUAUUCAAAAUUCAGAUGCCAUUUUAUGUUUUUGGAUAUCUAUAUCCUAAAUUAGUUUUCAAUUAGUUAAAUAAUGCCAUUUUAUGUAUUACAUAUGUUCAAAUUUUAUUAUUGUUAAAUUUAUACAUAUAUGAGUAUAUCGAACUAUUGAGUCAAUAGUAUGGGUCGAUAAAUAUAACCCUUGAGUAGCAUUCAUAAAUAACAUUGUUAGAAGUUAUUUUUGAUAUUAUAUUCCUACUUUUAUAUAAAUCCAUCAAUUUUACAUUUGUCAGUAAUAUGGGACCGUUUCGCUAAAGAAGAAACACUUGAGGUGAAUUUGCCUGUUCCAAUUCUUUCAUAUUACUGUCUUUCUAUCCGAAUUGAAUAUUAUGAAUAACAUCCGAUUUGAACUGUCAAUCCCUUCAGUUAUUUGUUAAUGUUCUGAGGAACAAUCUGUUGUGUAUAAAUGUAUAUCUCUGUCUACAUCUACUUACUAAAUAAGCUAUAUUGCUAUACUAUUUGACAUUUUGUGAAAAAACGAUUUUUAUAUUUCAUUUUAAUGAUUUGAUAUAAAUAUAUAUUAUUAUGGUCUAUCAUGACAAUAAAAAUGUGUAUUUUUAGCUUAUUCAAAUCAGAAUUAAGGUAUUAUUGCUUGCAUUCCACUGGUUUGGACCCUCUUUCAUUUUUUCAACUGAGUUAAUUUUUCAUCCUCUUUGUUGCUAUGCAAUUUGAAAUAUAUAUUUCUUUUUAAUGUGAGUUUGAAAGAUACUUUGAGCAUUAUUGAUGAAAUAAAUGUUUGUUGAGUGGGCUGUGAAAAUAAAAAUGUUACAUGUC